AAGCGCUUGCAGCCAGACUUGCCUGUAGUUGCUCAUCCGGGCUUUUGCCCGGUGCACUCUUCUGUAGGCAGGCCAGCAUCAGUUUGGGCGGUUGGAUAAAGGUCUCUGUCACGUACCUCCUCUCGGGGAGUGUUAUAGCCCACCGUGUAAUACCCUGGGGGGGACUGAGGUUCGCGCAUCUGCAAGGAUGCUGGCGUAAUGG
rnacentral:rRNA from 1 species